rnacentral:lncRNA from 1 species
GCGUGAAGAUUAAUUCAGCUCAAAGGGAAGCUGACUGAUUAAAAAAACUUUGAGUUCCAGGAUUUUAUAAAAGAUAAAUUGCAGAAAGUGGAUACUUGUUCCUUUGCAUCCUUUGAUUGUUUUGUAUAAUCAGUAGGAGCUCCUGAUGGAAGUGAAGGUGGUGAGGUGCUGUGUUCCAUUGUGCUUGCUUUCUUUAGGAAACAGUAGGUUUACAAUUGAAAAGUCAGCUUUGUGUGCCAAACUCUGGUGUGUACAGUGCCAGUUUUUUUUUUUCCUUUGACUCCUUCCUACCUAUUGUCUUUAGAAAUCAUGUUUAAUCUUGUUAGAUGCACAAUGUGUGUUAGGAAGAAAAGAGUGGAAUGAAAAAGGGUCACUUUGGUGUCUGCCACAGGCUGGGCACAGCUCUGUUUGUAAUCAGAGGCUCCCCUGGUGCAGCCUGUGGCUGCUUGGCAGUGGGCUGCUGCGGCUGGCAGGCUGGGUCUGGCCCCAGCAGCUCUCAUCCCCUCGGUGUCUCCGGCUGGAGCUCGCUGAAGAGCAAGCAGGAAUGCUGCUGGGGGCUCCUGCGUGACCUUGGAGUGGCACCAAAGUCCUGGGACGCUGGGAUGGAAGUGUUAGCCCCUGAGAAGAAAAAACAUGAAGAGAAUGAAGAUUUGCAACAGUAUCCUCAGAAGCCUGCAAGCUGUAAGAAAAUGCUUAGGAAUUGCUGCUUGAUAAAGCGAAUUUUUGCCUGGAAAAGUUUGAGCUCUAAAGUGACUUCUAUGAUGAAUGACUCUCAUCCUGCUGCAUCCACUUGAAUAAUGAUGGCGAACUUGGGACACCUCAGUGCACAAUACUGUCAAGUCAAGAAGUCCACAGAAGAGCUAUUAAAAUAGAUACAGCAGAGACUGUGAUUUAAGAGGACUCUUACUUUUAUGACAGUCAAGGAGCAACUGAAGAGAGAUCUGAUGAUGGUCAUCUACUUGUGGCAGCUGUUUAUUAUGCUCUAUCGUAAACAUCUCACUGUUACCUUGUGCUCACCCAUCUGUUUGUUUCUGCCCAUCUGUUAUUGUUUGCCAUGUGCUUAGGUUGUAAAUAUCACUGUUGUUUGAAAUAAAAAGGUUAAUAAUCCUUUGAUUAAAAAAAAA